rnacentral:sRNA from 1 species
UCCUCUUUGAUGUUACACCCAAAUAUGGUC